ACGGGAGGCAGCAGUGAGGAAUAUUGGUCAAUGGGCGUAAGCCUGAACCAGCCAAGUAGCGUGGAGGAUGACGGCCCUACGGGUUGUAAACUCCUUUUGCCGGGGGAUAAAAAACGGGACGCGUCCCGUCUUGCAGGUACCCGUGCGAAUAAGGACCGGCUAAUUACGUGCCAGCAGCCGCGGUAACACGUAAGGUGCGAGCGUUGUUCGGAAUCAUUGGGCGUAAAGGGCAUGUAGGCGGUCUGUCAAGCCAGGCGUGAAAGCCAGGGGCUCAACCCCUGAACUGCGCUUGGAACUGGCGGACUGGAGUCGCUGAGGGGGAACCGGAAUUCCUGGUGUAGGGGUGAAAUCUGUAGAUAUCAGGAAGAACACCGAUGGCGAAGGCAGGUUUCCAGCAGACGACUGACGCUGAGGUGCGAAGGUGCGGGGAGCAAACAGGAUUAGAUACCCUGGUA
rnacentral:rRNA from 1 species